CUAGUUUUUGCAAUAUUUAUUAAAUCCUUACUUAUACCUUUCUUCUUGAAAGGUUUUAAAUCAUUUAUAAUAAUAUCUUUGUAACAGCCAUUGUUAGUAUUAUUACAAAUUUUGUAAUUCUUUUGUGCUUCUUCAAUUGCAUUAUAAUACUUAAUAUAUUGCUUAUUUAAAUCUAUUAAAAGAAGAAAUUUCUUUCUUAUAAAUAUUAUCCUUUUUUUCAAUACAAUCUUCCGGAUUAUCAAUAGGACAAUAUUGCUCUUCACAGUAAACUACCCAAAAAAUGGUUAUUAAAAAAAUAUAACUUAAUACUAACGUGUUCAUUAUAAGAAAGCGGCAUGACAAUUUUUGAAUAAAAUAUAAAAAUUGAUGCUUACAAGCA
rnacentral:misc_RNA from 1 species